UACGGAGGGGGCAAGCGUUAUUCGGAAUUAUUGGGCGUAAAGGGCGCGUAGGCGUUUUGAAAAGUCUUGUGUGAAAGCCCCGAGCUUAACUCGGGAAGUGCACAAGAAACUGUUGAAUUUGAGUUCCGGAGAGGAAGGCAGAAUUCCCGGUGUAGCGGUGAAAUGCGUAGAUAUCGGGAGGAAUACCAGUGGCGAAGGCGGCCUUCUGGACGGAUACUGACGCUGAGGCGCGAAAGCCAGGGGAGCAAACGGG
rnacentral:rRNA from 1 species